GCAUCUUGGAUAGCUCAGUUGGUUAGAGUGUGGUGCUGAUGAUGCCAAGGAUGUGGUUUCGGUCCUCAUGUGGGGCA